CCUACGGGCGGCAGCAGUGGGGAAUAUUGCGCAAUGGGCGAAAGCCUGACGCAGCGACGCCGCGUGAGGGAUGAAGGUCUUCGGAUCGUAAACCUCUGUCAGCAGGGAAGUACGGUCACUGUGCUAAUCAGCAGUGAAUUGACGGUACCUGCAAAGGACGCACCGGCUAACUCCGUGCCAGCAGCCGAGGUAAUACGGAGGGUGCGAGCGUUAAUCGGAAUUACUGGGCGUAAAGCGCUCGUAGGCGGUAUGUCAAGUCAAGGGUGAAAUUCCCGGGCUCAACGUUGGAACUGCCGUUGAAACUGGGAGGCUGGAGUAUGUGAGAGGAUAGUGGAAUGCCAGGUGUAGCAGUGAAAUCCGUAGAUAUCAGGAGGAACAUCGGUGGCGAAGGUGACUAUC
rnacentral:rRNA from 1 species